CAAAGAUAUUAGAGGCAUGGCUAUUAAAUUAAUUGGAGUAAGUGGUGAUAAAUUAAUAGAUGAUGAAAAAAUGACUCAGGAUUUUGUGAUGCUUACUAUACCAACUAUGCCUAUAGGAACAUUACCUCUAUUCAGAGAUUCUAUAUAUUAUAUGGUUAAAAAAAAGAAUCCAAUUGCUUUAAUGUAUAGUUUAUACAAAUCAGAUAAAUUAAAUAUAAUUAAAGAUCUUAUAGAAGGAAGAUCAAACCAAACAAGUCCGCUAGAUGUAAGUUAUUUUAGUACAACUCCAUAUGCUUAUAAAAAUAAAAUAGUUAAGUUUUGUGUGAAACCAAAUUCGAAAUAUAAAAGCGAAUUACCUAAAAGACUUACAUACAACUAUCUUUCAGAAAAUAUGCAAAAACAUUUAAUUGAUAAUGAAGCUAGUUUUGAAUUUUAUAUCCAAAUUCAAAACAACUCUAAAUCGAUGCCUAUAAAUGAUUCAUCUAUUGAAUGGGAUGAAGAAGAGUCACCUCUUAUUAAAAUUGGUAAAAUAAUAAUUCCAAGACAAUGGUUUAUAACAGAUACUAGAAGUGAAAUGGGAGAAAAAUUAUCUUUUUCGCCAGGGCAUUGCAGUGUGGAACAUAGACCCUUAGGAGAUAUAAACUUAGCUCGUGUAAAAAUAUACAGAGAACUUAGUGAAUUUAGGCACAAAAGAAAUUAUAGAGAAUGUAUAGAACCAACGAUAGAAGAUUUUAAAAAUUUAAAAUAAAAUUUAAAAAGCCCUGCUUACUAAAAUGUAAGCAGGGCUUUUUACUUAUAUUACAUAUUUAAAUACACAAUAAAAAUGAGUUAGGCUUCCUAACAUAACGAAUAUAUGGAAAAUAUCAUGAAAACCUAAAUAUUUAAAAUCAAGAUAUUUAGGUUUAACUCCAUAUAUUAUUCCACCUAUAGUGUAGAAAACUCCACCAAGAGCUAAAUAAAAAACUCCUUGAGGUGAUAUUGCUUUAGAUAAAGGUCCUAUUAUAAAAAUAGAUAUCCAUCCCAUUCCUAUAUAUAUAGAAGUAGAUAGCCAUCUAGGGCAAUUAAACCAAAGCAUUUUAAAUAAAACACCAGCAACGGCUAUUCCAGAUACUACACCGAAAAAAGUGAAUCCUUUAGAUCCGUUUAAAGCAAUUAAGCAAAAUGGCGUAUAUGAACCUGCUAUUAAAAUGAAAAUCAUAGAGUGAUCAAGCUUUCUUAAAAACUUAAUCACUUUUUCAGAUGAAACUACCAAAUGGUAUGUCGCAGAUGCAGAGUAUAAAAGCAUCAUACUUAUACCGAAUAUUAUAACCGCAGUUAGAUUUACUAUAGUAGGGCUAGUAAUUGUUGUUUUUAUAACUAAUGCUAGUAAUCCAACAAAUGAAAGUAUAGCUCCUGCUAAAUGAGUAAAACCACUUACGGGUUCUCUAAGGUACGUACCCAACGCAAUCCCUCCUUAAUUAGAAUGAUACAUUAUUGUAUUCAUAAUUAUGUCCAAUAUAUAUCUGUUUAAAAUAUUUUAACAUAUUUAUUCUGAAUUUUAUGUUAAAUCUGCUGAAUAUUAAAUAAAAAAAUAAAAAAGUUUAAAAAAACUGUUGACGUUAUUUCAAAAUGGUGAUAAAGUAUUACUUGUCCUUAAGAAACGGACGAAACACAAAAGAGAAAAUGAACUUUGAAAAUUAAACAGUAGGUUAAUUAUAAAAAUUCUUUUUAAAAGAAUUAAACACAAACAACCAAGCCAGAUAUUCAGAUAAUGAUUAGCUGAGCGAUGGACAACUUUUUAAAUUAUAUUUGAGAGUUUGAUCCUGGCUCAGGAUGAACGCUGGCGGCGUGCCUAACACAUGCAAGUCGAGCGAUCUCUUCGGAGAGAGCGGCGGACGGGUGAGUAACGCGUGGGUAACCUGCCCUGUACACACGGAUAACAUACCGAAAGGUAUACUAAUACGGGAUAAUAUAUGAAAGUCGCAUGGCUUUUAUAUCAAAGCUCCGGCGGUACAGGAUGGACCCGCGUCUGAUUAGCUAGUUGGUAAGGUAAUGGCUUACCAAGGCAACGAUCAGUAGCCGACCUGAGAGGGUGAUCGGCCACACUGGAACUGAGACACGGUCCAGACUCCUACGGGAGGCAGCAGUGGGGAAUAUUGCACAAUGGGCGAAAGCCUGAUGCAGCAACGCCGCGUGAGCGAUGAAGGCCUUCGGGUCGUAAGCUCUGUCCUCAAGGAAGAUAAUGACGGUACUUGAGGAGGAAGCCCCGGCUAACUACGUGCCAGCAGCCGCGGUAAUACGUAGGGGGCUAGCGUUAUCCGGAAUUACUGGGCGUAAAGGGUGCGUAGGUGGUUUUUAAGUCAGAAGUGAAAGGCUACGGCUCAACCGUAGUAAGCUUUUGAAACUAGAGAACUUGAGUGCAGGAGAGGAGAGUAGAAUUCCUAGUGUAGCGGUGAAAUGCGUAGAUAUUAGGAGGAAUACCAGUAGCGAAGGCGGCUCUCUGGACUGUAACUGACACUGAGGCACGAAAGCGUGGGGAGCAAACAGGAUUAGAUACCCUGGUAGUCCACGCCGUAAACGAUGAGUACUAGGUGUCGGGGGUUACCCCCCUCGGUGCCGCAGCUAACGCAUUAAGUACUCCGCCUGGGAAGUACGCUCGCAAGAGUGAAACUCAAAGGAAUUGACGGGGACCCGCACAAGUAGCGGAGCAUGUGGUUUAAUUCGAAGCAACGCGAAGAACCUUACCUAAGCUUGACAUCCCACUGACCUCUCCCUAAUCGGAGAUUUCCCUUCGGGGACAGUGGUGACAGGUGGUGCAUGGUUGUCGUCAGCUCGUGUCGUGAGAUGUUGGGUUAAGUCCCGCAACGAGCGCAACCCUUGCCUUUAGUUGCCAGCAUUAAGUUGGGCACUCUAGAGGGACUGCCGAGGAUAACUCGGAGGAAGGUGGGGAUGACGUCAAAUCAUCAUGCCCCUUAUGCUUAGGGCUACACACGUGCUACAAUGGGUGGUACAGAGGGUUGCCAAGCCGCGAGGUGGAGCUAAUCCCUUAAAGCCAUUCUCAGUUCGGAUUGUAGGCUGAAACUCGCCUACAUGAAGCUGGAGUUACUAGUAAUCGCAGAUCAGAAUGCUGCGGUGAAUGCGUUCCCGGGUCUUGUACACACCGCCCGUCACACCAUGGAAGUUGGGGGCGCCCGAAGCCGGUUAGCUAACCUUUUAGGAAGCGGCCGUCGAAGGUGAAACCAAUGACUGGGGUGAAGUCGUAACAAGGUAGCCGUAUCGGAAGGUGCGGCUGGAUCACCUCCUUUCUAAGGAGUAAUUGCCUACUGUUUAAUUUUUGAGAGCUUAUUGUUCUCAAACAUUAGUACUUUGAAAACUGCAUAACAUUUAGUGAUGAUUAAAUAAACCAAUUAU
rnacentral:rRNA from 1 species